GAGGUAUCGAUAUCUCGAGCACAUCAUCAGGAGGAGCUACACUUUCAGGCCGCACAGAUUAUCCGCAGCGCAUCGCAAAAUCAGACGACAAGAUGCAGAUGGUACUGGUGAUAUCGCUGCCCCUGGUGGCGCUGGUCAUCAUCAUCGCCGUCAUCCUCUGCAUCAUCUGCCGUUAGGUUAACCAGCUGGCCGUUCGCCGGAAGGACGGACGGACGGGUUCCACGCCAUAUCAUGUAGUCGUCUCGUAGCCGUGUUUGUUGUGUGAUUUAUACGUACAUUUUUCUUUCUUUCUUCUAGCUUGAUUAUCGACGUGAAAUGUAUUGCCGAUUGAUCCAUGUGUGCGUGUGGAGUGCGGUAGCGCGUGCUACCGUUGUUUAAUGUAAAGCUCUCUACGGAUUUCUCCGAUUC